rnacentral:rRNA from 1 species
GACGUAGGGGGCGAGCGUUGUCCGGAUUUAUUGGGCGUAAAGCGUGCGUAGGCGGCUGCGCAAGUCGGUUGUGAAACCCCGGGGCUCAACCCCGGAACUGCAUCCGAUACUGCGUGGCUAGAGGUAGGUAGGGGAGAUCGGAAUUCCUGGUGUAGCGGUGAAAUGCGCAGAUAUCAGGAGGAACACCGGUGGCGAAGGCGGAUCUCUGGGCCUUACCUGACGCUCAUGCACGAAAGCGUGGGGAGCAAACAGG